rnacentral:rRNA from 1 species
UACAGAGGUCCCGAGCGUUGUUCGGAUUCACUGGGCGUAAAGGGUGCGUAGGUGGUGAGGUAAGUCGGCUGUGAAAUCUCCGAGCUCAACUCGGAAAUGGCAUUGGAAACUACCUUGCUCGAGGGUUGGAGGGGGGACUGGAAUGCUUGGUGUAGCAGUGAAAUGCGUAGAUAUCAAGCGGAACACCAGUGGCGAAGGCGAGUCCCUGGACAACUCCUGACACUGAGGCACGAAAGCUAGGGGAGCAAACAGG